rnacentral:rRNA from 1 species
UACGUAGGGUGCGAGCGUUAAUCGGAAUUACUGGGCGUAAAGCGUGCGCAGGCGGUUCGUUAAGUCUGUCGUGAAAGCCCUGGGCUCAACCUGGGAAUUGCGAUGGAUACUGGCGAGCUAGAGUACGGUAGAGGAUGGUGGAAUUCCCGGUGUAGCGGUGAAAUGCGUAGAGAUCGGGAGGAACCCCAGAGGCGAAGGCGGCGUUCUGGCUCGCAACUGACGCUCAGACACGACAGCAUGGGGAGCGAACAGG